AUUGAACGCUGGCGGCAGGCCUAACACAUGCAAGUCGAACGGUAACAGGAGGCAGCUUGCUGCUUCGCUGACGAGUGGCGGACGGGUGAGUAAUGUCUGUGAAACUGCCUGAUGGAGGGGGAUAACUACUGGAAACGGUAGCUAAUACCGCAAAACGGCGCAAGACCAAGAGGGGGACGUUAGGGCCUCUUGCCAUCGGAUGUGCCCAGGUGGGAUUAGCUAGUAGGUGGGGUAACGGCUUACCGAGGCGACGAUCCCUAGCUGGUCUGAGAGGAUGACCAGCCACACUGGAACUGAGACACGGUCCAGACUCCUACGGGAGGCAGCAGUGGGGAAUCUUGCACAAUGGGCGCAAGCCUGAUGCAGCAAUGCCGCGUGUAUGAAGAAGGCCUUCGGGUUGUAAAGUACUUUCAGCGGGGAGGAAGGAAGUAAAGUUAAUCCCUUUGCUCAUUGACGUUACCCGCAGAAGAAGCACCGGCUAACUCCGUG
rnacentral:rRNA from 1 species